CGCACAUUGCGCCCUCUGGUAUUCCGGGGGGCAUGCCUGUUCGAGCGUCAUUACACCACUCAAGCCUCGCUUGGUAUUGGGCGAGGGGGCCGUGCCGCCCCCCGCCCCAAUGUCCUCGGCUGGACCGUCCGAAUCCCGGCGUUGUGGAACACACGUUGUCGCUGGAGAGGAUCGACGGGCCGUGCCGUUAAACACCCCCAUCACAGGUUGACCUCGGAUCAGGUAGGGAUACCCGCUGAACUUAA
rnacentral:misc_RNA from 1 species